GCGCUCGUAGCUCAGCUGGAUAGAGCAUCAGACUACGAAUCUGAGGGUCAGGAGUUCGAUCUCUUCGAGCGCGCCA
rnacentral:tRNA from 1 species